AAAUUGAAGAGUUUGAUCAUGGCUCAGAUUGAACGCUGGCGGCAGGCCUAACACAUGCAAGUCGAACGGUAGCACAGAGAGCUUGCUCUCGGGUGACGAGUGGCGGACGGGUGAGUAAUGUCUGGGAAACUGCCCGAUGGAGGGGGAUAACUACUGGAAACGGUAGCUAAUACCGCAUAACGUCGCAAGACCAAAGUGGGGGACCUUCGGGCCUCACACCAUCGGAUGUGCCCAGAUGGGAUUAGCUAGUAGGUGGGGUAACGGCUCACCUAGGCGACGAUCCCUAGCUGGUCUGAGAGGAUGACCAGCCACACUGGAACUGAGACACGGUCCAGACUCCUACGGGAGGCAGCAGUGGGGAAUAUUGCACAAUGGGCGCAAGCCUGAUGCAGCCAUGCCGCGUGUAUGAAGAAGGCCUUCGGGUUGUAAAGUACUUUCAGCGAGGAGGAAGGCAUUGUGGUUAAUAACCGCAGCGAUUGACGUUACUCGCAGAAGAAGCACCGGCUAACUCCGUGCCAGCAGCCGCGGUAAUACGGAGGGUGCAAGCGUUAAUCGGAAUUACUGGGCGUAAAGCGCACGCAGGCGGUUUGUUAAGUCAGAUGUGAAAUCCCCGGGCUCAACCUGGGAACUGCAUUUGAAACUGGCAAGCUUGAGUCUCGUAGAGGGGGGUAGAAUUCCAGGUGUAGCGGUGAAAUGCGUAGAGAUCUGGAGGAAUACCGGUGGCGAAGGCGGCCCCCUGGACGAAGACUGACGCUCAGGUGCGAAAGCGUGGGGAGCAAACAGGAUUAGAUACCCUGGUAGUCCACGCCGUAAACGAUGUCUAUUUGGAGGUUGUUCCCUUGAGGAGUGGCUUCCGGAGCUAACGCGUUAAAUAGACCGCCUGGGGAGUACGGCCGCAAGGUUAAAACUCAAAUGAAUUGACGGGGGCCCGCACAAGCGGUGGAGCAUGUGGUUUAAUUCGAUGCAACGCGAAGAACCUUACCUACUCUUGACAUCCAGAGAACUUAGCAGAGAUGCUUUGGUGCCUUCGGGAACUCUGAGACAGGUGCUGCAUGGCUGUCGUCAGCUCGUGUUGUGAAAUGUUGGGUUAAGUCCCGCAACGAGCGCAACCCUUAUCCUUUGUUGCCAGCGGUCCGGCCGGGAACUCAAAGGAGACUGCCAGUGAUAAACUGGAGGAAGGUGGGGAUGACGUCAAGUCAUCAUGGCCCUUACGAGUAGGGCUACACACGUGCUACAAUGGCAUAUACAAAGAGAAGCGACCUCGCGAGAGCAAGCGGACCUCAUAAAGUAUGUCGUAGUCCGGAUUGGAGUCUGCAACUCGACUCCAUGAAGUCGGAAUCGCUAGUAAUCGUAGAUCAGAAUGCUACGGUGAAUACGUUCCCGGGCCUUGUACACACCGCCCGUCACACCAUGGGAGUGGGUUGCAAAAGAAGUAGGUAGCUUAACCUUCGGGAGGGCGCUUACCACUUUGUGAUUCAUGACUGGGGUGAAGUCGUAACAAGGUAA
rnacentral:rRNA from 1 species